UAUAUUUUUUCAUAAUCAUCUCACUUCUCAUCUUUUUUUCUUGCGAUUUAUUUCAAAUCACCUUAUUUCUCAAUUACAAUUACAAAUUGCGAUUUAGAUUUACAGAUUGUGAUUUAUUUUUUACAACUCAUACAUUUACAGAUUGCGGUUUAUUUUUUCUUGAAAAUAACCAUGGAUUCUUCAACCAUCUCAUUCCCUGUGGCGUUUUCUCUCCAUUUGUGUUUGCGGUUCGUGUUUGCGGUUCACAAAAGAUAGAGAAACCAAAGCUUCGAACCAUCCUCCCUAUUUUCUCGACAUGGUGAUGCUAACAAGUUAACUCGAUUUUUUGGUGAAAUUUGUUGUUCUGCUUAUGGAUUGAUGGUUGAUCUUCAGUUAAAAAGAUCCAUCUCCAACGUUAGGAUCUAGAUCUAAAUGGGUUUGUCAUGGCUGUGAGAUUUGCAAACAAAUACAUUUUCAAUGGAGUUGUCGAUUUUCUUAGUUUGGAUUUUUCAUAUAUUUGUACUUUGAUUUAUUCAACUUUGUAAGAUAAUAUAGAAACUCAUAUGUACUCCGUAUUUGAUUAAUAAUAAUAAAAAAGUUAAGUAUUUCAAGA